rnacentral:rRNA from 1 species
UACAGAGGGCUCAAGCGUUGUUCGGAUUCAUUGGGCGUAAAGGGUGCGUAGGCGGCGAGGUUAGUCGGUUGUGAAAUCCCAGGGCUCAACCCUGGAACUGCAUUCGAUACUGCCUUGCUAGAGUACUGGAGAGGAGACUGGAAUUUACGGUGUAGCAGUGAAAUGCGUAGAUAUCGUAAGGAAGACCAGUGGCGAAGGCGGGUCUCUGGGCCGUAACUGACGCUGAGGAGCGAAAGCAUGGGGAGCGAACAGG